AAAUAGAUACAGAAAAGAAAGCGUUUCUACCACAUGAAAAGAAAAUUCUGCUUCAAAACCAAGCUCUUUUCUCUCCUCUUCUUGAUUUUCCUCAUCUUCUUUUUCUCUUUCCUUUUCUUUAU
rnacentral:ribozyme from 13 species